AACGAACGCUGGCGGCAGGCCUAACACAUGCAAGUCGAACGAGAAGCCACCUUCAGGUGGUGGACAGUGGCAGACGGGUGAGUAACGCGUGGGAACGUGCCUUUCGGUUCGGAAUAACCCAGGGAAACUUGGGCUAAUACCGGAUACGCCCUUCGGGGGAAAGAUUCAUUGCCGAAAGAUCGGCCCGCGUCGGAUUAGCUAGUUGGUGGGGUAAUGGCCCACAAAGGCGACGAUCCGUAGCUGGUCUGGGAGGAUGACCAGCCACACUGGGACUGAGACACGGCCCAGACUCCUACGGGAGGCAGCAGUGGGGAAUAUUGGACAAUGGGCGAAAGCCUGAUCCAGCCAUGCCGCGUGGGUGAAGAAGGCCUUAGGGUUGUAAACCCCUUUCAGCGGGGAAGAUAAUGACGGUACCCGCAGAAGAAGUCCCGGCUAACUCCGUGCCAGCAGCCGCAGUAAAAC
rnacentral:rRNA from 1 species